rnacentral:rRNA from 1 species
GUCGAGAAUCUUUCACAAUGGGGGCAACCCUGAUGGAGCGACGCCGCGUGGAGGAUAAGGUCUUCGGAUUGUAAACUCCUGUCAUGCGUGAACAAGGUUGCUUGGUUAAUACCUGGGCAAAUUGAUGGUAACGCAAGAGGAAGAGACGGCUAACUCUGUGCCAGCAGCCGCGGUAAUACAGAGGUAUCAAGCGUUGUUCGGAAUCACUGGGCGUAAAGGGUGCGUAGGUGGCGUGGUAAGUCAGAUGUGAAAGCCCGGGGCUCAACCUCGGAACUGCAUCCGAUACUGCCAUGCUAGAGUACUGGAGAGGUGACUAGAAUUCUCGGUGUAGCAGUGAAAUGCGUAGAUAUCGAGAGGAAUACCAAAGGCGUAGGCAGGUCACUGGACAGUUACUGACACUGAGGCACGAAGGCCAGGGGAGCGAACGGGAUUAGAUACCCUAGUAGUCC